UGCGCAGGUGGGAAUGUAAGUCAGUGGUGAAAUGUUGCCGCUCAACGGUAAAAUUGCCAUUGAUACUGCAUCUCUUGAGUAUGGUUGAGGUAGGCGGAAUGUGUUGUAUAGCGGUGAAAUGCAUAGAUAUGACACAGAACACCGAUUGCGAAGGCAGCUUACUAAGCCAUUACUGACGCUGAGGCACGAAAGCGUGGGGAGCGAACAGGAUUAGAUACCCUGGUAGUCC
rnacentral:rRNA from 1 species